rnacentral:rRNA from 1 species
GGAUUCCCCUAGUAAUGGCGAAUGAAGCGGGAACAGCUCAAAUUUGAAAUCUCCGUCGCCUGCGACGGCGAAUUGUAGUUUCGAGAAGCGCUUUCUAGGCGGAGCCGGCGCCGUCCAAGUUGCUUGGAACAGCACGUCAUAGAGGGUGACAACCCCGUCUGUGGCGGAGCCGGCCGCCCACGAUGCGCUUUCGACGAGUCGGGUUGUUUGGGAAUGCAGCCCAAAAUGGGUGGUAAACUCCAUCUAAAGCUAAAUAUUGGCACGAGACCGAUAGCGAACAAGUACCGUGAGGGAAAGAUGAAAAGCACUUUGAAAAGAGAGUUAAAAAGUACGUGAAACCGUUAAAAGGGAAACGAAUGGGGUUAGCAAUGCGUUGCGCGAGAUUCAGCCGGCGGGCGGCACGGACGGGCGGUUUGCGGAUCUGAAUGGACCGCGGCCGUCCGGCUCGGGCCCUCGGCCGUCGCACUUCUCGCCAGCGCGCGCCAGCGUCGGUUGGGACCGGGUCUCAAGGGCGCCGGGAAGGUAGGUGAGGCCCCUCGGGGCCGCACUGUUACAGACCGGCGUUGCAUGGCUCGGGCCCGACCGAGGAGCCGCGGCGUGUGCCUCUUCUGGCUGGGGUCCUGUCGGUCCGGUCGGUAGUCGACUGCGGUGGACUGCGUGCAGUGCGCCGCGACUGCUGCCGGUCGCGCCGGCGGUGACCUCACACCACGCGCCCAGGACGCUGGCGGUCACAUGGCCUCAUCCGACCCGUCUUGAAACACGGACCAAGGAGUCUAACAUGUGCGCGAGUCUUCGAGUGAUCGAAACUCCCGGGCGCAAUGAAAGUGAAGGCGGCCCCGCGCCGCCGAGGUGAGAACCCCUCCCUCGGGGGGGGCGCAUCAUCGACCGACCUAUUCUACUCUUAGGAAGGUUUGAGUAAGAGCGCACC